UAAGUACUCCCUUCGUCCGAAAAUACUUGUCGGCGAAAUGGAUGUAUCUAGACAUAUUUUAGUUCUAGAUACAUCCAUUUUUAUUCAUUUCUCCGACAAGUAUUUUUGGACGGAGGGAGUAUAUG
rfam:Triticum aestivum genome assembly, contig: Triticum_aestivum_CS42_TGACv1_scaffold_328803_4BS